rnacentral:rRNA from 1 species
AAACUAGGAUUAGAUACCCUAUUAUUAAGAGCUAUAUAUUGUUAGUAUAUAUAUUUCACGAAAACAAAAAAUUGUGGCGGUAUUUUAAGCUUUUCAGAGGAAUUUGCUCUUUAAUGGAUAAAACACCUAAAUCUUACUAAAAUUGGUUAAGCAGUUUGUAUACCACUAUUUAAGUAAUAAUUUGUAAUUAUUACUUAAAUUUAUUUUAAAUAAAAAAAGUUAAGUCAAGGUGCAACAAAAAUUUUAGUAUGAAGUGAAUUACAUUUCUUUUAAGUUAUAAUAUCUGAAAAUAAAAAUUAGGAUUUGAAAGUAAAAUUUAAUAAAAGGAAAAUUGAAUAG